AUGCAAACAUCAAUGGUUACUACUACGGUAAUAGUAGCUUCCUCCAUGGAAUUGAGGCUCUUUCAUUGUCACUUUUCAAUCUCCGCAAGAUUAAUCUCUCUAGCCAUUACUAUAUCGAUGACAAAUCAACUCAUCUUGCCUUAUUGUCGUCGAAUAACAAAAGCAGGAGUUUCUUCUGCUCUCAACGAGAAACAAUCAACAUUGAGGUAUUUAUCUCUUCCCAUCUUACUUACUGCACAAGUCAUUGAUUCCUUGCUGAGUUUUAAGGGGUUGACUUGUUCUACUAUUUCGGAUGAACUGCUCACUUCUAUUGCAAUGGAAGGUCUUCUUUGA